rnacentral:rRNA from 1 species
AUUGAACGCUGGCGGCAGGCCUAACACAUGCAAGUCGAGCGGAUGAAGGGAGCUUGCUCCUGGAUUCAGCGGCGGACGGGUGAGUAAUGCCUAGGAAUCUGCCUGGUAGUGGGGGAUAACGUCCGGAAACGGGCGCUAAUGCCGCAUACGUCCUGAGGGAGAAAGUGGGGGAUCUUCGGACCUCACGCUAUCAGAUGAGCCUAGGUCGGAUUAGCUAGUUGGUGGGGUAAAGGCCUACCAAGGCGACGACCCGUAACUGGUCUGAGAGGAUGAUCAGUCACACUGGAACUGAGACACGGUCCAGACUCCUACGGGAGGCAGCAGUGGGGAAUAUUGGACAAUGGGCGAAAGCCUGAUCCAGCCAUGCCGCGUGUGUGAAGAAGGUCUUCGGAUUGUAAAGCACUUUAAGUUGGGAGGAAGGGCAGUAAGUUAAUACCUUGCUGUUUUGACGUUACCAACAGAAUAAGCACCGGCUAACUUCGUG